CCUACGGGUGGCAGCAGUGAGGAAUAUUGGUCAAUGGACGCAAGCCUGACCCAGCCAAGCCGCGUGAAGGAAGACGGCUCUAUGGGUUGUAAACUCCUUUUACAUGGGAAUAAAGUUCAGUAUGUCUACCGAAUUAUAUGUACCUUAUUAAGUAGGAGCGGCUAACUCCGUGCCAGCAGCCGCGGUAAUAUGGAGGAUCCGUGCGUUAACCGGAUUUAUUGGGUGUAAAGGGAGCGUAGGUGGACUUUUAAGUCAGUUGUGAAAGUUUGCGGCUCAACCGUAAAAUUGCAGUUGAUACUGGUUGUCUUGAGUGCUGCAGAGGUAGGCGGAAUUCCUGGUGUAGCGGUGAAAUGCUUAGAUAUCACGAGGAACUCCGAUUGCGAAGGCAGCUUACUGGACAGUAACUGACGCUGAUGCUCGAAAGUGUGGGGAUCAAACAGGAUUAGAUACCCUUGUAGUC
rnacentral:rRNA from 1 species